GCCGGGAUAGCUCAGUCGGUAGAGCAGGGGACUGAAAAUCC
rnacentral:tRNA from 5 species